rnacentral:rRNA from 1 species
GCAGUGAUGUGGAGCAAAACUCAAAAAAAUAAGUCUCAGUUCGGAUUGGAGGCUGAAAUUCGCCUUCAUGAAGCCGGAAUUGCUAGUAAUGGCAGGUCAGCAUACUGCCGUGAAUACGUUCCCGGGCCUUGUACACACCGCCCGUCACACCAUGAGAGUUGGGAAUACCCGAAGCCUGUGAGCUAACUUUUAGAGGCAGCAGUCGAAGGUAGAAUCAAUGAUUGGGGUGAAGUCGUAACAAGGUACC